rnacentral:rRNA from 1 species
GACGAACGCUGGCGGCGUGCCUAACACAUGCAAGUCAACUUGACGGAAGGAGCAAUCUGACCGUAGAGUGGCGCAAGGGUGCGUAACGCGUAAGUAACUUGCCCAAGGUAAGGAAUAACGUCGAGAAAUCGGCGCUAAUACCUCAUAAUGCAGCGGAUCCGCAUGGAUAUGUUGUUAAAGGUUUACCGCCUUGGGGAUAGGCUUGCGUCUGAUUAGCUAGUUGGUGUGGUAACGGCACGCCAAGGCUACGAUCAGUAACUGGUCUGAGAGGAUGAUCAGUCACACUGGAACUGAGACACGGUCCAGACUCCUACGGGAGGCAGCAGUGAGGAAUAUUGGGCAAUGCUCGAAAGAGUGACCCAGCAACGCCGCGUGGAGAUGAAGGUAUUCUAUAUCGUAAACUCCUGUGAGAGCAGACGAAAGCAGAUUAUUAAUCUGG